rnacentral:lncRNA from 1 species
UUCAAGGCCACCAUAUCGGCCUUCAUCUGUUCUUGCACCUCGUCUACGUCACCCAUGAUUCUAGUCUUAGACCGGGUUCGAUAGGGGUGCCUUAGAGCGCAUUUAGUUAUGGUGUUACUUCCUAGAGGAACAAAAUGCGGUGAGUAAUGCGACAAAAAACUAAACAUGAAUGCAUGCUAAAGAUAAGUUGUCAAAGUAUUGGAUUUACACAGAGUUUUAAACACA